AGUAGCGAACGGGUGCGUAACACGUGAGAAUCUACCCAUAGCUUAUGGUUAAAUGCCGUAGAAUCUUAUAGAUUUAGAUAUAUAUCGGUUAUGGAUGAGCUUGCGGGGUAUUAGGUAGUUGGUGUGGUAAUGGCGCACCAAGCCCAAGAUACCUAGCCGGUUUGAGAGAACGAUCGGCCACACUGGGACUGAGACACGGCCCAGACGCUUACGAG
rnacentral:rRNA from 1 species